AAAAUUAUCAUUAUUAUAUAAAAGGUUAACAGGUCGAUAAAUUUAUUUAGUAUUUUAUCGGUUGUUUAGAAUUUUAGAUCACAAUGAAAGCUACACUCUUUAUUUUGGUGUUUUUAACUGUACUUUCGGUAGUUUUUUCGGCGGUAUUUCGAUACCCCAAGAUAGAAGGUAAACCGGGAGAUUGUUGGUCUGAGGAUACUGGACCCAUGAUAAGUGGUGAAACUAAACAACUUGAUGGUAAAUGUUCUCGAGCCAAUUGUAGCCAAGAUGGUACUAUUCAAGUAGCUUCAUGUGGCGUUGCAAGGGGACCAAAUGGUGCGACCGAUACCGAUUAUUCCAAAACGUAUCCAGAGUGCUGCCCGAGACCGAAAUAAAUGUGUAUUUGAAUCUAGAAAUGUGCUUUUUUUAAUGCGUUCAAAUUCGAUAACGAGUUUCAUUAGAAAAAGUGAAUAAAGAUUUUUAGAACAAUAAAAACAUUUUCUUUAAA